GAGUUUGAUCAUGGCUCAGGAUGAACGCUGGCGGCGUGCCUAAUACAUGCAAGUCGAGCGAACGGACGAGAAGCUUGCUUCUCUGAUGUUAGCGGCGGACGGGUGAGUAACACGUGGAUAACCUACCUAUAAGACUGGGAUAACUUCGGGAAACCGGAGCUAAUACCGGAUAAUAUUUUGAACCGCAUGGUUCAAAAGUGAAAGACGGUCUUGCUGUCACUUAUAGAUGGAUCCGCGCUGCAUUAGCUAGUUGGUAAGGUAACGGCUUACCAAGGCAACGAUGCAUAGCCGACCUGAGAGGGUGAUCGGCCACACUGGAACUGAGACACGGUCCAGACUCCUACGGGAGGCAGCAGUAGGGAAUCUUCCGCAAUGGGCGAAAGCCUGACGGAGCAACGCCGCGUGAGUGAUGAAGGUCUUCGGAUCGUAAAACUCUGUUAUUAGGGAGAACAUAUGUGUAAGUAACUGUGCACAUCUUGACGGUACCUAAUCAGAAAGCCACGGCUAACUACG
rnacentral:rRNA from 1 species